rfam:Picea glauca, whole genome shotgun sequence.
ACAUGCCUACAAUGUAGUGUUAAUGCACCAGAUCCCAUUAGAACUUCGCAUUUAAGUGCACUCAGGCUAGAGUAGUACUGGGAUGGGUGACUGACCAGGAAGUGUAACGACCCCAAUC